AUUGAACGCUGGCGGCAUGCCUUACACAUGCAAGUCGAACGGUAACAGGUCUUCGGAUGCUGACGAGUGGCGAACGGGUGAGUAAUACAUCGGAACGUGCCCGAUCGUGGGGGAUAACGGAGCGAAAGCUUUGCUAAUACCGCAUACGAUCUACGGAUGAAAGCAGGGGACCGCAAGGCCUUGCGCGGACGGAGCGGCCGAUGGCAGAUUAGGUAGUUGGUGGGAUAAAAGCUUACCAAGCCGACGAUCUGUAGCUGGUCUGAGAGGACGACCAGCCACACUGGGACUGAGACACGGCCCAGACUCCUACGGGAGGCAGCAGUGGGGAAUUUUGGACAAUGGGCGCAAGCCUGAUCCAGCCAUGCCGCGUGCAGGAUGAAGGCCUUCGGGUUGUAAACUGCUUUUGUACGGAACGAAAAGACUCUGGUUAAUACCUGGGGUCCAUGACGGUACCGUAAGAAUAAGCACCGGCUA
rnacentral:rRNA from 1 species